rnacentral:rRNA from 1 species
UACGAAGGGGGCUAGCGUUGUUCGGAAUUACUGGGCGUAAAGCGCACGUAGGCGGAUUCUUAAGUCAGGGGUGAAAUCCUGGAGCUCAACUCCAGAACUGCCUUUGAUACUGAGGACCUUGAGUUCGGGAGAGGUGAGUGGAACUGCGAGUGUAGAGGUGAAAUUCGUAGAUAUUCGCAAGAACACCAGUGGCGAAGGCGGCUCACUGGCCCGAUACUGACGCUGAGGUGCGAAAGCGUGGGGAGCAAACAGG